rnacentral:rRNA from 1 species
UACGGGGGGGGCAAGCGUUGUUCGGAAUUACUGGGCGUAAAGGGCGCGUAGGCGGCCAACUAAGUCAGACGUGAAAUCCCUCGGCUUAACCGGGGAACUGCAUCUGAUACUGGAUGGCUUGAGUUCGGGAGAGGGAUGCGGAAUUCCAGGUGUAGCGGUGAAAUGCGUAGAUAUCUGGAGGAACACCGGUGGCGAAGGCGGCAUCCUGGACCGACACUGACGCUGAGGAGCGAAAGCCAGGGGAGCAAACGGGG